UUGCAAAUCAGAAACCAUGGCCAAAAUUGCGUUAGGAACAACCCGAGAGGCUACUCAACCAGAUUGCAUUCAGGCUCUAAUUGUUGAAUUCAUUGCCACCUUUCUCUUUGUCUUUGCUGGUGUUGGUUCUGCAAUGACUGCUGGUAUAUAUAUAUAUAUCUAUCUAUCUCCUAACUCAAAAUAGUACUAUACUAUAACACUUAUUUUUGUUCUUUACUAAAUGUUCAUAAUUCAAACUCUGGCUACUAAGAACAUUCAUAAUGAAAUAUAAAGAAAAGGGGUCUUAUAAAUCAAAUGUAUUUGGUCUAGAGUCAGUUAAAUUAAUCUUUUGGAGAAAGUAUGGAUCUAAGACUAAUUCCUUGAAAUUUAUUUCAAUAGAUAAGCUAAGUGGAGAUGCCUUAGUGGGUUUGUUUUUUGUGGCUAUUGCACAUGCUCUUGUGGUGGCUGUAAUGAUCUCUGCUGCUCAUAUUUCCGGUGGCCAUUUGAAUCCCGCCGUGACUUUGGGCCUCCUUGUCGGAGGCCACAUCACUAUCGUUCGUUCGAUCCUAUAUUGGAUUGACCAAUUGAUAGCAUCUGCAGCUGCUUGUUAUCUUCUUCAUUAUCUCUCUGGUGGAUUGGUAAGCUCUCAACUCUUCAUAUAUUACUUGGUUAAGAAUCAUCAUUUUUAAGGUAAAAAAAUUUGAGUUGAGACUAAAAUUGUAAUAAACAUAAUAUUUGAGGACCAAAACAAUUUGAUUUUAAAAGGAGAAAACUAUUUUUUGGAAGAUCAAAAUGCAAUUAAAUUUAUUAUUAUUUAUGUUGGAAAUAUCCUUGUCCAUACAAUUGAAAAAUAUUUAUUGAUACAAAUAUUCUUGCUUUUUAAAGGGAAAAAGAUAAUAACCUUCUUUGUUUUUAUUGUUUGAAAGCUAAUUAAAAAAAUAUUGCACAUUGAAUCUUGCAUGAAUUACAGACAACUCCAGCUCAUACACUUGCAAGUGGAGUAGGGUACACUCAAGGAGUAGUUUGGGAGAUUGUGUUGACAUUCUCUUUGUUGUUCACUGUGUAUGCAACCAUGGUUGACCCAAAGAAAGGAGCACUUGCUGGCCUUGGCCCAACCUUAGUUGGGUUUGUGGUGGGGGCAAACAUCCUUGCUGGUGGGGCUUUUUCGGCAGCUUCAAUGAACCCGGCAAGAUCUUUUGGGCCUGCUUUGGUUAGUGGAAAUUGGACAGAUCAUUGGGUUUAUUGGGUUGGACCACUUAUUGGUGGUGGGCUUGCUGGUUUCAUUUAUGAGAAUUUCUUCAUUAAUAGAGAUCAUGUUCCUCUAGCUGUAGAUGAAGAAAGCUACUAAGAAUUAAGAUUAGGUUUUUCCUUGGGAACUUUGCAUAAAAUUUGUGUUACUGUGCUUUAAUGUACAAGUGCUUUAUUUUUGUGCUUGGUAGAGAAAUAAAAUAUGAUUUCUAGUAUUAUAUUUGUGUGUAGAAUAACAUGUCAAUACUAAUAAAGACUUAUCAAUACUAGUUGACUAAGAGCAACUUUAGUUCAUGAUGAUAUACUAUGCCCAAAUUUCUUAUAGAUGAUGACAAAUAUAUAAAACUUGCAUUGGAGUAAGCUUGAUAUGAUAUGACAAAGGGUGAGAUAAAACUUAGUAUGCAUCUACUAUAGAAUCAACUUCCAAAAGAUAUCAAGCAUUGAAAUCAUUGACAAAAAAAAAAAAUCAAAAGCAUUAAACUUAUUAUUUUAUAUCAAUAUCAUUAAUAUUUGUAUUUGUCUAAAAUAUAAUUUGUUGUUCAUGACCAGAAAAAAAAAAAAAAAAACAUGUAAUUUGUUGUUUAUUGUCAUGUACUAUUUUGUAUUCCAUUAAAAAUGCAGUUUUUGUGUAUUAUUGUUGUGCAUUUUGUUGUUUAUUGUUUAGGUAAAAUUUAUUAAAAUAAUAUAAAAUACUUCAGAUGCCGCCUCAAUUAACAUCAAAUUAUUUUUUGGUAUAUAAAUUGAUGUUUAUUGUCUUUAUAAAUUGACAGCUUCUUUGAUCAUUUUUCUUGAGUGUAAGAAGCAAUUAAUUGCACAUCGCAAAUCAUAAGACAAUAUGGCCAAAAUCACUUUAGGAACAACCCAAGAGGCUGCUCAACCUAAUUGCAUCCAGGCUCUAAUUGUUGAAUUUAUUGUCACCUUUCUCUUUGUCUUUGCUGGUGUUGCUUCUAAAAUGGCUGCUGGUAUGUAUAUAAUAUAAAACAUUUAGGUGUCCCGGUGUUGGACACGUGUCAGUGUCUGGCACCGACACCUAUAAUUAAUCUAAAUUAUAUUAUUUUUUUAAACUAUUAUUUG
rnacentral:lncRNA from 1 species